UGAGAAUCCUUGAACUAUGCACAAAGAUGCACACCCUACAUCCCUUUACCCCCAAAGUACUACCUGACAAGUUAAUGACAUGGGGUUUCUGAAUGUGAUGAAGGUCAAAGAGGAAAAUAAGAUGAGUAGGGUUACUUUUCAUCCUGGUAAAUUUCUCCUUUGUCACUUCCUUGAAUGAUGGACAAAAUACAAACUGCAGAGAAUUC